AUGGCCUGGCAGGACCUGGUUGAUCUCAGGAGGAGGGGCAUCACUAUCAGGUGCUGGACUAAGGGGAGCAUCCCAGGAAGCCGGAAAAUCACUGCUGCUUUGCCUACACGCAAGGUUGACUGUAGAUGGAUUAAGACUAAAAAACUUCCUUUUCUCUCAACAAGUCGGAAAUACUAAUAGCUGUUUUUGAAAGUGGAAAAAAUUCCAUUUGGGAAAAUGUUUACUUCGCAGGGAUUCUCAAGAGUGGGAUAAGGCCUUGGAGAUCCUUUAACUUGAAACUGCAUUUGGUGCAAGAACUCCUCUUUAUUUUUUUUGCCUUGAAAAUAACAGUAAAUUAUUAAAAGUUCAGGCAUUUCUGAAACAUCAUUAACAAACCCAUGCCAAGAGAAAAUGGCUUUGAAACAUUGGAUGUAAGUUAACAGGUAGUGGCAGCAACACCACAGAAAGCAAAAGGGAUAGAAUAGUCCCUGUGACCUACUGGCACAAAAGAAAAUUUCAUUUAAGCUGAAAUUUCAAAACUGUAAAGUCAGAGUAGCAUGAAAAUCACCAAGUUACAAAAUACUUUAAUAUGAAGGUAUACUGGUCCAAAGAAAAAUGGGUGAGGCGAGAUUGCCUGGCAUAGUCCAUCUCUUUUUUCAUAUUGUGAUCAAUAUAAUAAGAGGAAUGUUUGGAGUGCCAGCCUAGAUUCUGCUACUGGCCACGCACUUGAGCUUCUUACCAAUUAUUUCUCACAUUAUGUCAACCCUGAGCACAUAUCAGCUUUUGAUAUUUGGAAUGCCUGGAAGUCUUUUAAUAGCUUCGCCCUAGGCAACUUUUAACACUCAUGUUCCUAGAAAUUACAGUGAAAAAUCAUGUUAUAGCUCACUGAGGUUUUCAUUCUCCGGGUUAUGUAUUUUCACCAGCAACAAGUGUUCAGUACCUUCAGUGAAAUGGUUUAGGGAUCGUGAGAACCACGGAAUGAUGACAGAGCUGAAGGGUCCCAGACGCAUCAAGUCAAAAAUUUAUCUUUCUCAUUUUAUAGUUGAGGAAACUGAGGCCCAGAUAAAUCUUCAAGAUCACUUGGCUUGUUAGUAGCAACCUCAGGGUUGGAUAAUUUAGUGGCUCAAUGACACCAGUGAGGACCUAGGUUCUUUCCAAUUGUCAGAUCUGCCCUCUCAACGUAUCAACUUUUUCCACA
rnacentral:lncRNA from 1 species